rnacentral:rRNA from 1 species
UACGUAGGGGGCUAGCGUUGUCCGGAAUCAUUGGGCGUAAAGAGCGCGUAGGCGGCCAGAUAAGUCCGGUGUGAAAGUCAAAGGCUCAACCUUUGAAUGCCGCUGGAAACUGUCUGGCUAGAGUCCGGGAGGGGCGAGUGGAAUUCCUGGUGUAGCGGUGAAAUGCGCAGAUAUCAGGAGGAACACCAAUAGCGAAGGCAGCUCGCUGGGACGGUAUUGACGCUAAGGCGCGAAAGCGUGGGGAGCAAACAGG